UACAGAGGGGGCAAGCGUUAUUCGGAAUUAUUGGGCGUAAAGGGCGCGUAGGCGGCUUUGCAAGUGACGGGUGAAACCCCACGGCUUAACCGUGGAACUGCCUGUCAGACUGCAUGGCUUGAGACCAGGAGAGGUGAGUGGAAUUCCCAGUGUAGCGGUGAAAUGCGUAGAUAUUGGGAGGAACACCAGUGGCGAAGGCGGCUCACUGGACUGGUACUGACGCUGAGGCGCGAAAGCGUGGGGAGCAAACAGG
rnacentral:rRNA from 1 species